GACGAGAGGCCCGAGCGUUAAUCGGAUUUACUGGGCGUAAAGCGUGUGUAGGUGGCUGUUCAAGUCGGUUGUGAAAUCCCCGGGCUCAACCUGGGAAUUGCUUCCGAGACUGAGCGGCUAGAGUACGGUAGAGGGCGGUGGAAUUUCCGGUGUAGCGGUGAAAUGCGUAGAUAUCGGAAGGAACACCAAUGGCGAAGGCAGCCGCCUGGGCCUGUACUGACACUGAGACACGAAAGCGUGGGGAUCAAACAGG
rnacentral:misc_RNA from 1 species